rnacentral:lncRNA from 1 species
AGUUCACCAAAUUAGGAUAUAAAGGGUUAGAGGAAACUUAGGAGAUUGAUAUUGAGUUUGGAGUUAUUUUGAAGUUAUGAGUGGGUUAAAAAAUUUAGGUUAUCCAACUGUAGAUAGGCUUUGGUAUUACGAUGAAAUGGAGUUUAAUAAGAUGGUUUUGUUGAAAGAUGACAAUGGAACUAGGAGGAUGAAGACAAUUGUAGUGUUGGCAGGUUUAGUGCAUUUAUAUGUUAUUCAUCAUAUUAAGAAUAUUCUC